AUUUAAUUAUAUCCAAACAAUUGCAUUUGAUACGUAUAUAUAUAAAAAACAAUAAAAAAAUUAAUAAAAUUUUUUUUUUGAAAAUGGGUAAUCGUAGCAGUAGUAGUAGAAGUAGAAGUAGUGGUAGUAGUAGUGGUAGUAGUAGUGGUAGUAGUCUUAAUGGUAGUAGUCAUAGUGGUAGUUCAAACCUAAGGUAUAAAAGUGUAAACACGAAAAACUAUUUAAAUGUUCAGAUUAGUACUGAAGACAAUAAAAAAUGUAUAAACAUAUACCCCUGUUUUUUUAUAUAUGUGCUAUAUGAUGAAAUGGUGUUGCGAUUUCAAGAUAAACAUAGAGAGAAUAUUGAAAGCAAAAAAAGUAUGAUUCGAGGUUAUAUGCGCAAGUCUACUAACGGGGCAUAUCAAAGUGAAACGCACACAUAUAUCCGUUUAAACUUUUUCAAAAGCACAUGUGUUAAUACAUGCUUAAUAAAAAAUGAUACAGAAAAAUUGAUGUCUGUCCCUUAUAAUUUUUUAAACAAAUGUAAAUUUAUUCAAUUGAUUUUAAAAAUAAAUAAACAAAUGUAUGUAAGUAAAAAGAUAAAAUUUAUGGAUAUAUUAAGAAUGAGAAAAAUUGCAUAUGUGGAUAUUUAUGGUAGAAUGUUUACUUUUUAUUGUAGUUUUUUUUAUUUGUUUAGUAAAAAUAAUGACCAUGGUAAUAAUGACUAUAGUAAUAAGCAGAAGAAGAAGAAGAAGAAGAUGAUGAUGAAGAUGAAGAAGAAAAAGAAAGUACAAAACAAUAGAAGUAGUCACUUGCAAAAACUCGUUAAAAUAACUGACAAUGCAAAAACAGCAUACUCGACGAAUUCGUAUUUAAACAAAAAAUCGACUAGUACCGAUUUUAAAAUAAAGGACGGAGAUGGAGAUGGAGAUGGAGAUGGAGAUGUACAAUUGCUAAAAGAUGAAGGUUCGUGUAGAAAAAGAAUGGACGCAUUGAAUAAGGGAAUUAAAAAGUAAAAAUUAGCAAAAAAUUAUGUUUGUGAAAUAUUACCAGGGAGGUACAGUAUAACAUAUGUCAUGGAACGUGGCAUGGCAAAUACCACACAGAAAAAGUCGGACAAAAUACAAAACGAAAUGAAUAGUGCUAAAGUAUUUAUGAUUUACAAACUGGUUGAAAAGGAUUUGCAUGUAAUGUGUAUAGAAAAUUGCAUCAAACUAAUAAAUUUAACUCCAUUUAAUAUUAAUGUAUUAUUAAAACUAGAAAAAGGAAGUAUAAAGACGUAUAAAUUGAAUAGUUUUAAGUGUAUAAAUGUAUAUGAUUUUUGUUUUUUACAUAAUAUAAUUCUAAGUUUUAGUAUAGCUUUGUAUAGAAAGUGGAUCCAAUUUAUACGAAUCAAUAAUGAAGAGUUUUUUUUUUUUGAUGAAAAAAAAUUAAACAAGACCCAGACAAGGAAUGAUUUUAAUAAUAAUACAUCCGAGUAUGAUACAAAUAUUGGUAGUAAUUUUGAUACAAAUAUUGGUAGUAAUUAUGAUACGAAUAAUAUGAAUAACAACAGUACUAGCGAUAAAACUUAUACAAGUAUAAAUAAUAAUGUAAAUAUAAUUUUCUAUAAAAUAAUAAAAUGUCAGGGUUUAUAUUUUGUUAUAUACAUAUAUUUUUAUGAGCAUAAGUACUAUAUUACAUUUGUUAGCAAAUAUAACAUAAUUAAUUACACCAAAAAUAUAAUUCAUUAUCACAUUAUAAAUAAUGAAGAAGAAAGUUUUGUGAAUGACUUGGCAUUAAGAUGUUAUAACAAAAAAAGUGAACUGAUGGAUAAUUGGGCAGAGUUGAAAAAGUAUGUAUUGGUAUUAUAUCCGGGUUUGGAAAGUAAGGUCACAUUUUGCAGAUUUGAUCGGAAUGUACAAAGUUGGGGUGGACGUAAGAGUAGUAAAGGUGACAAUACUUGUAGUGAUGGGAGUAGCAGUAGCAGUAGCAGUAGCAGUAGCAGUAGCAGUAGCAGUAGUAGUAGUAGCAGCAAUACGAAUGGCAUAAAAAAGAAAAGUUUCCGAAUUUAUAAAAAAAAAAUUGAUAAAGAUACAAAUGAAGACAAAACAAUAAUAAAAACGUAUUGUUUUGAUCAUCGCUUUAUUAUUAAUACUAAUCUAAAAGUAAUAAACCAAGACGUUACAUCAUAUGAAAACAACAAAGCAUAUACAAAAAUUACAAAAUUAAAUGAUGAUUAUAUAAUAAUAAAUAUAAAAAUAUUUAAUUAUCAUGGUUUUAAUAUAUCAUUUAUUGAAUUUCGUUCUUAUGUUUUAAUAGUCAAUCUGACAAAAUAUAAUUUUAUAAUUAAAACGAAGGACCACGAAACGUUGAAGAGGGAACAUAACACGGGUGUAGUUUGUCAUUACGGAAAAGAUUACACCCCAACUAGUAACAAUAGCAGCAGUAGUAGCGGUAGUAGUAACAGUAGUAACAGUAGUAGCAAGAGCAGUAGCAAGAGCAGUAGUAAUAAUAAUAAUAAAAAAAAAAAUAAAAAAAAUAAAAUAAAAAAAAAAUAUAACUUCGAAAAUACAUCAUCUGAUGAAUAUAAUACAAAUAUAGCUAAACGGGUAGAUAAAGAAGAUAUAUUUAAUUGUAGGUACGAUUCUAAUGAAAGUGAAGAAUGUAUUUUAAGUGAGUAUUCUAGGGGUUCUCUUUCUGGUGACACAGACUUAACGCGAAAAGGUUUUUAUAAGAGUGUAAAAGGUUUAAGAAGUAAUAAAAAAAGGAACUACAUCAUAAAACGUGAAACACAGAUGAACCGCUACGACAGCAGUAACAGCAAGGGUAAUAGUGACGGUAAGGGAGAGGACAAGAGCAAGAGCAGAAAAAGCAACACUAACGGUAACGGUAACGGUUACGGUAACGGUAAUGGUAAUGGUAACAUUUAUGGUAACAGUUAUGGUAACAGUUAUGGUAACAGUUAUGUGCGUACAUUAUUUUCAGCAUUUGCAAACAAAGCAAAACGUAACGGGGCAGAAGAAAACACAAACCUAUUAAAAAGCAUGAACAUGCAGGAGUUGAAGAUAAAAAAUAAAAGUACAUGGGAUUUUAUCAGCUUGAAAAUUAAAGAUACACAAAAAAAGGGUUCAGAAAAAAUGGGUUCAGAAAAAAUUGGUUCAGAAAAAAUUGGUUCAGAAAAAAUUGGUUCAGAAAAAAUUGGUUCAGAAAAAAUGGGUUCAGAAAAAAUGGGUUCAGAAAAAAUGGGUUCAAAAAAAACGGGUUCAGAAAAAACGGGCCCAGAAGUGAUGAGUUUAGACUUUGUAAACAAAACGAAUGAAACAAGAACAAAUGAAAAGAUCCACUAUUUUAAUGACUAUGACAAGGAGUAUAUCCCAAAAAAGAAAACAAAACUGACUAAUGGAAAAAAAAUAUUAAAUUAUAAAUAUGCGAUGGAUAUCAUAAAAAAAAAUUGUUACUCUGUAAAAGAAAUGGAUGAAACAGAAGAUGAAAUAGGGGGAAUAAAAAAAACAUUUUUAAAAAAUGAAGACUCACAAAAAAAGUAUAUUAUAUGUAAUUACAUGAGGAUACAUAAAAAUAUGAAUAAAUAUUUUUAUAUGUAUAAAUAUAAACAAAUAAAUACGACAAAUUAUGAAUCUUAUAUUGUUGUUAAAGAAUUGUUGUUUCAUAUGAUAUCAAUAGAACAUGAUAAAACAAAUUAUAUAAUUAUUAAAAAGGUUCCAUUUCAUAACGGUUAUAACGAUUGUAGUAGUACACUUAGUCAUAUGAAUACGAAUAUGGAUGACUUUACUACUAAAGUAAAUGAUAUAGAUACUAAAGUAAAUGAUAUAUUUUCAACAGAAGAAACGGAGGCAGAAGUUGAAUUAUUAACUAACAAAUAUAAUCACUUACAACAGACGUAUACUUCAUUUAAAAAAACAGACUUAAGUAAUAUUAGUUUUUAUAAUAUGAAAGAUAAUAUAUUCAACAGGGUAUUGCAAAAAUAUAAAGAAUUAAUUUGUAAUAAGAUUGUUAAAAAUGGUUGUAUUUUUAUUUUCAAUAAUUUGAACUUACCUUUUUUUGUUACACAUACAAAAAGUAAUUUACUUUUUUUAAUCAAUACAAGAUAUGUACAUUUUAUAGAAAGAAAGAAUUUGUUUUUCUUUUUUCCAAAAUAUAUUUUAAUGAAUAAAAAAAUAAAAAUUCUAUUAAAAUUGAACCAACUAGCUGUAGGUAAAUACGAAACGGUACGUAAUUACAUACAUCUUAGACAAAAUGAACAUAUUUUGUCUAGUUUUUAUAUAAUGCAUCUGAAUUUAGUCUGUAACAUAGUAUCCAAUUUUUAUUUUUAUUCAUUUAUGUUUAAAAAGAGGAAGAUGGUUUAUAGGAGAAGGCGUGGAUACGUUGAUGUUCGUGUAGUAAAAAGUAGUAACAAAAAUGUUAAAAAGGAGGAGGUUUACACGUCAAAAGAAAUGAGUGGGCGUGGUAGUACAAAUUAUGAUAAGCCUCACAAAUACAACAAACGUGAGAAACGAAAAAACUUAUAUCAUAAAUGUAGCAGUAGUAUUAGUACUGGUAGUAGUAGUAGUAGUAGUAGUAGUAGUAGUAGUAGCAGUAGUAGUAGUAGUAGUAGUCAUGAAAAUAUUAAUACAAAAAAAACGAUUGUAUAUUACGAACUUUACCUUGUUCGAUUUUCCUGUGAUAUUAUAAUAAAUAUGAAUAACGAAUUAAAUAUAAUUGUUAAUGGUAUGUCAGAGAAUGUUUUUUUAAAACGGUUAUUGUCACUUGAUUAUUUUUUCCAGUUUAUUCCUUAUAAAGCAAAUGAAUUCAUGUUCAAACAUAAUUUAUUAAUACAUAAAAAUGAAAUAAACAAUUAUCAAAAGAAUAGUAAUACUACUACUACUCCUCCUACUAAUACUACUCCUCCUACCACUACUAUUACUAAUACUAGUAGUAUUAGUAUUGAUAGUGGUGGUAGUAGUUAUAAUAAUAAUAAUGAUAUCAUAUAUAUAAAUAAUAUAUACGGAUUAACCAGUAGCGACUUAAUAAAAAUAAAAAUUUGCAUUAGUAGCAUGAAUAUUCUUUUUGAUUUUUAUGACAUUGGAAAUAGUCCAUGGUCAAAGGGGGGAGAGGACGCAGGAGGAUCAGAAAACCGAACGGUAAAUAUACAACAAAAAAUACAUCUAAGUCAGGUUGAAUUUUCAUUUUUUACUUUUCAUUAUUUGAAUGAUAAAAUGCUUGAGGAAAAAAAAAAUUGUUUACAGUUUUUUAAUCCAUUGGACAUAGCACAAGUAAAAAAAGAAAAAAAAAGAAAAAAAAAGGCCACCACUGCUGGAGUGUUUGCAAACUAUACAAAUUUAAAUCGGGUAAAAGCAAAUGGGUUAAAUAAAAGUGGACCAAAUAAAAGUGGACCAAAUAAAAGUGGACCAAAUAAAAGUGGGCCAAAUACAAAUGUAAGCAAUGACACUUAUAAUAAAUCUAUUUUUUAUAAUAGUCAGAAAAAUAAUUUUGUUAAUUUAAAAAGGAAAAAGAGAAAAAGUGAUACACAUGGUCAACGCUACAGUAACAACGACAACGAUGAGAACGACACGCACACACAGAUAGAUUCUCAAGAAAACAUCGGUAACGGAGUGUAUAAACGUGAGGAUUUGAGUCUACUAAACAAAUGGGAUACCGUUGAUUCUUUGUACCCACAAGACGUAACCAAUUCGUGUACACUUAACAUAACCAAUCCGUAUACACUUAACAUAACCAAUCCGUAUACACUUAACAUAGCCAAUUCGUAUCCAUCUAACAUAAGCAAUUCGUAUUCAUAUGAUGUAUGUACGACAUCCCAACACAAAAGCGUUGGCGAUAUAUACAACUUGCUUAAAAAAAAAAAAUAUGUACAAAAUCACUUUUAUAUGCUCAGGAGUUAUAAAAAAAAUAAAAAAUUGUAUAAAAGGCUUUUUAGUUUAUUAAAAAAAAAAAUUUUAGCUAUGUGUUUAAAUUUUACUGAAUUUUAUAAAAAGAUAUCAAUAACAAUUGAUAACUUAACUGUUACUAAAUUUAAUUUAUAUAAUAAAAAGAAUUUUGAAUACAAUUAUACAUUAUUAACAAAAUAUAAUAAUUUUGAAAAAUUUAUACGUAUAAACAUAGAUAUAUAUAAACAAAGGAGUAUGAAAUAUAAACAUAUAUACAACACGUUGAAUAUAUUAUAUGCUUGUUGUCACAUAAAAGAGAUGAAAAAUAAACGGAAGAAACAUAAGAUGGUGGAUAAUUACAAUAAGUAUGUUACGCAGAGUAAUGCUAUUUAUGAUGAUGUUAUUUUUGAUGGUUCUAUUUGUGACGGUUCUAUUUGUGGUGGUACAAUUUGCGAUGGUGUAACAUACGACGGCGAUAGCUCCAAACAUAACAUCAUGCCUACUACCAUGCUCAAACACAAACGUGAUCGGUUAAGCAUGGACAAAACAGAAAGCAAUCAUCUAAGAAUAAUAAACUCAAACAGCUUUAUAAAAAACAGAGAACAUGCUAUGUUAUACAACGCUUAUUACUAUUAUUAUUAUCAUCAUCAUCAUCAUUAUUAUUAUAAUAAUGGCAAAAAUGAAAAAUGUAAUAAAAAUCAUAUUGAUUAUGAUAAAUCGUUAUACGAUGAAAAGAAUAAAAAUAAUACCGACUUAUGUUCCUAUAAUAAAAUGAAUAAUAUAUGUAUAAAUUCGCCUUAUAAUUCAAAUGAAAA
rnacentral:lncRNA from 1 species